rfam:Schistosoma rodhaini strain Burundi genome assembly, scaffold: SROB_contig0003281
AUCCAGCUGGCGAGUCCCAAAUUGGACGGAACGUGCGUCCUUGAU